rnacentral:rRNA from 1 species
UACCCGCAGCUCAAGUGGUGGUCAUUAUUAUUGGGCUUAAAGCGUCCGUAGCUGGCUUGUUAGAUGCCUGGGUAAAUCGAUGUGCUUAACGCAUCGAAUUCCGGGUAGACCGGCAAGCUCGAGACCGGGAGAGGUGUAGGCUACUCGGGGGGUAGGGGUAAAAUCCUGUAAUCCUCCGGGGAGGACCAGUGGCGAAGGCGCUACACUAGAACGGCUCUGACAGUGAGGGACGAAGCCCUGGGGCGCAAACCGG